rnacentral:sRNA from 1 species
AUACCCCAUGAUGCUCAGGUCCGCCGCAUCUCCUGGAGUCGUGGGGUCGGCCGGCCGAUGACCCAAAGGGAUUCCUCGUGUCCCGGGAAAUCGGUCGGCCGGUCU